UGAAAGUGCGUCUAGGGUUCCGUCCUGUUUGUUUUUUUCAGGAGCUGGUCCGAGCGGCGCAGGCGUGUUUUUUUUCAGAACACGCUACACCUUGGGGAGAAAAGCCCGGAAGGA
rnacentral:sRNA from 1 species